UACGAGAGGCGCAAACGUUAUUCGGAUUUACUGGGCUUAAAGAGUUCGUAGGCGGCGCAGAAAGUAGGGUGUGAAAACCCGCGGCUCAACUGCGGGCCUGCAGCCGAUACGGGCAGGCUAGAGUUCGGUAGGGGAGACUGGAAUUCCUGGUGUAGCGGUGAAAUGCGCAGAUAUCAGGAGGAACACCGGUGGCGAAGGCGACAUCCUGGACCGGUAUUGACGCUGAGGCGCGAAAGCCAGGGGAGCAAACGGG
rnacentral:rRNA from 1 species